rnacentral:rRNA from 1 species
AUUGAACGCUGGCGGCAUGCUUUACACAUGCAAGUCGAACGGUAACAGGCCGCAAGGUGCUGACGAGUGGCGAACGGGUGAGUAAUGCAUCGGAACGUGCCCAGUCGUGGGGGAUAACGCAGCGAAAGCUGCGCUAAUACCGCAUACGAUCUAUGGAUGAAAGCGGGGGACCGUAAGGCCUCGCGCGAUUGGAGCGGCCGAUGUCAGAUUAGGUAGUUGGUGGGGUAAAGGCCCACCAAGCCAACGAUCUGUAGCUGGUCUGAGAGGACGACCAGCCACACUGGGACUGAGACACGGCCCAGACUCCUACGGGAGACAGCAGUGGGGAAUUUUGGACAAUGGGCGCAAGCCUGAUCCAGCAAUGCCGCGUGCAGGAAGAAGGCCUUCGGGUUGUAAACUGCUUUUGUACGGAACGAAGCGGUCCUGGUUAAUACCUGGGGCUAAUGACGGUACCGUAAGAAUAAGCACCGGCUAACUACGUGCCAGCCGCCGCCGUAAGAC